CUGCUUGCACCUUGACGGUACCUAACCAGAAAGCCACGGCUAACUACGUGCCAGCAGCCGCGGUAAUACGUAGGUGGCAAGCGUUGUCCGGAAUUAUUGGGCGUAAAGGGCUCGCAGGCGGUUUCUUAAGUCUGAUGUGAAAGCCCCCGGCUCAACCGGGGAGGGUCAUUGGAAACUGGGAAACUUGAGUGCAGAAGAGGAGAGUGGAAUUCCACGUGUAGCGGUGAAAUGCGUAGAGAUGUGGAGGAACACCAGUGGCGAAGGCGACUCUCUGGUCUGUAACUGACGCUGAGGAGCGAAAGCGUGGGGAGCGAACAGGAUUAGAUACCCUGGUAGUCCACGCCGUAAACGAUGAGUGCUAAGUGUUAGGGGGUUUCCGCCCCUUAGUGCUGCAGCUAACGCAUUAAGCACUCCGCCUGGGGAGUACGGUCGCAAGACUGAAACUCAAAGGAAUUGACGGGGGCCCGCACAAGCGGUGGAGCAUGUGGUUUAAUUCGAAGCAACGCGAAGAACCUUACCAGGUCUUGACAUCCUCUGACAACCCUAGAGAUAGGGCUUUCCCUUCGGGGACAGAGUGACAGGUGGUGCAUGGUUGUCGUCAGC
rnacentral:rRNA from 1 species